rnacentral:rRNA from 1 species
UACGUAGGGUGCAAGCGUUAAUCGGAAUUACUGGGCGUAAAGGGCGCGUAGGCGGCCUUCUAAGUCGAACGUGAAAUCCCCGGGCUCAACCCGGGAACUGCGUCCGAUACUGGAAGGCUUGAAGCCGGGAGAGGGAUGCGGAAUUCCAGGUGUAGCGGUGAAAUGCGUAGAUAUCUGGAGGAACACCGGUGGCGAAGGCAGCUCUCUGGGACGGUACUGACGCUGAGACGCGAAAGCGUGGGGAGCGAACAGG